CACGUAGGGGGGCGAGCGUUGUCCGGAUUCAUUGGGCGUAAAGGGCGCGCAGGCGGCCCGGAAAGUCGGAUGUGAAAACUCGAGGCUCAACCUCGAGCGUGCACCCGAUACUGCCGGGCUUGAGGCAGGUAGGGGAGAUCGGAAUUCCUGGUGUAGCGGUGAAAUGCGCAGAUAUCAGGAGGAACACCGGUGGCGAAGGCGGAUCUCUGGGCCUGUCCUGACGCUGAGGCGCGAAAGCUAGGGGAGCGAACAGG
rnacentral:rRNA from 1 species